GAGGGUGUAGCUCAGUGGUAGAGUGCAUGCUUAGCAUGCACGAGGUCCUGGGUUCAACCCCCAGUACCUCUA
rnacentral:tRNA from 1 species